GAUGAACGCUAGCGAUAGGCUUAACACAUGCAAGUCGAGGGGCAGCAUGGUCUUAGCUUGCUAAGGCUGAUGGCGACCGGCGCACGGGUGCGUAACGCGUAUGCAACUUGCCUCACAGAGGGGGAUAACCCGUCGAAAGACGGACUAAUACCGCGUACACUCUAUGUUGGGCAUCCAAUGUAGAGGAAAUGAAAUUCGCUGUGAGAUAGGCAUGCGUCCCAUUAGCUAGUUGGUGAGGUAACGGCUCACCAAGGCGACGAUGGGUAGGGGAACUGAGAGGUUGACCCCCCACACUGGUACUGAGACACGGACCACACUCCUACGGGAGGCAGCAGAGAUGAAUAUUAGUGAAUGGACGAGAGCCUGAACCAGCCAAGUCGCGUGAAGGAUGACUGUCUUAUGGAUUGUAAACUUCUUUUAUACGGGAAGAACAAGAGUCACGUGUGGCUCCCUGCAUGUACCGUAUGAAUAAGCAUCGGCUAACUCCGUG
rnacentral:rRNA from 1 species